AAAAAGAGUUUUUCCAAAAAUAGACAACUCAAAUUACUCAAAGAAAGGAAACCUGCUGUUUGCCUUCAGUGCCAUGUUUCUGAAAGCUGGAAGUCUGAAACCGGUAUCACUGGGCAGAAAUGAAGGUGUCAGCAGUGAUGUUCUCUCUCCAGAGGCUCUAAGAGGAAAAUGUUCGUUGCCUCGUCCCAGUUCUGGUAGCUGCUGGCAUUCCUGGCUGUGGCUACAGUCUUCAAGGCCAGUGGUUUCAAAUUUCUCUCUGCUUUGUCUUCCCUUGUCCUCUGAGUAGUUAAAUUUCUGCAUGUUUCCCUUCUUACACGUUCUGAUUGUAUUUGGGGCUCAUCCAGAUGACCCAGGAUAAUCUCUCCUUCUCAGAAUCUUUAAUUUAAUUCUAUCUGCAAAGAUGCUUUUCUUUUUUUUUUUUUAAUUUGCCAUAUAAAGUAAAAUUCACACAGGUCCAAGAGAUCAGGAUGUGGAUAUCGUUGCAGGACCAUUUUUUUAGCCUAUUACACUGAGCAACUUACGGUAGACUUCGGAUGUUCUCACUUUGAGUUAUGGUUUCGUUUGUAUCCAGUUCUGGGUGGUAAAGGCUGGUGGCAGUGGGUGGCAGAAUAUUCUCAUCUCUUCGGGACCUUCUGCAGAAAACUCUAGGUUUGUGGUUUACAGUGGUGGUCCUAGAAGUAUCAGCCUUACCUUAGGAACUUAGUAGAGAUGCAAAUGAUCAGUCUUCGACCUGCGGAAUUAGGAACUCUUGAGGCUAGGGCCUUGCCACCUGUGCCUAACAAGCUCUCCGGGCGAUGCUGAAGCACCCUGAAGUUUGAGAAGCACGUCUCUAGAUUACUGACAUUAUUAGUAUUAAAACCACAUUAGCCUUCCUUUCCCGUGUUUUUCCGCUUACUGCUAACGCUUAAAGUAGUCUAAGAUUUAGCAUCUAUAGCACCUGUUUUCCAUAGGGAUACAAACAUUUAGUACUGAUGUCUUGGCACUGAUACCAGUACCAGUUAUUCAUUUACUUAAUACAGGUUUUCACUGGGCUAAUUUUUGUCAGUUCUGUUUUGACUUAGAUGUAGACAUUUUAUAAAGUAACUUUGCUCUGGAUCUGGAAAUGAUGGGAGUUUUUUUCUGUAGCCCUUGAAAAUGUGGAUUAAGUUCCUUCGCCUGCAUGUUACUUCCUUGUCUUGUGUAUCGUCAUGUCCACUUGGGGAUGCCACAGAAAUUUCCAGUCUUCCACUCCUCCUACAUUGUUAGGCUUUUACUGUUAUGUGCUCUUGAGUGAAGGUGCCCAAGUGAGAUAAAUGAAUUCUUUUCCUCAGUGUAUCCACAUUGUGGCUCAGAAAAGAGACCUGUAAACAGAAUUGAAGUAGAACUAUCCCUAGAGGCUAUAGCCAUUGAGAGGCACAGCUUUGCAUGGCUGAAAUUAAAGCAGGGGCUCCACCGUGACUGAGCUAAACAUUGAAAAACCAGCAGAAAGGUGUGCGCCAAGCUAAGGAUGGACAGAAGGUGGGUGGGGGUCUCCAUGUGAAAAGGUCUGGAAGCCGCGGGGACACAGGGCUCUUCUGGGAGGUGACGGGCUGAAUACGUGGAAGCGCGGAGGAAACAGAGCCAAGCCGGGGCUGGACACACGAGGCUCCGGUCCCUGGUGAGACUCACGGAGGCCCCGAGGCGCCGGAGUGCCGUCUCCGGGCGACCCUCGUCGGAGGAGUCUCGUCUGGGCAGGGUGCCUUGGAGCCGAUAGUGAGUCCGGCAAUAGGACAGUUACACUCCUCGGGUUGAGAGUGGUGGCUGGUGUGGCAGGGCCAUCUUUUGAGAAUUGGUGCUUUCAGAAGAGUGACAAGCUGGUUUCUGGGAGGUUGUAGAGUUCAGGGUGGGACGUGCUGCGUUUCAGAACGUGUGGAAUGUGAUAAAAUUAAGGGUGGGUGGAUUUUCGACAAGUAAAUUUCCAAUGGAGUGUUCAGGUGGAAUCACAGGUAUUAUAUUGAAGAUUAAAUGAGGAAGCAGGAGAGAAUUAAUACACGAUGUUCUCUGGAAUAAUCUUCCCUGGCAUUAAUAAAUAUUUUAUCAUUAUGGCUACUAUUAGCAUGUACUUUUAUGCCAGUUCAUGCUGUUUUUUUUUUUUUUUUUUUUGCUUUGUUUUGUUUUCUUUUCAACUUUUUGGUGUAUUUUUUGGUAUGUAUGCAAUAAUAUUAGAUAAACAUUGAUUAUAGAUAGAAGUGUGUGUUUUAUUAACAAAUACUGAUUUUAAUUAUUGCUAUUGCCCUGUUAUUAAUAUUAAUGAAAACAGAACUGAAAGUUUCUCAUUUGAAUAGAUUACUGUUCCUCAAAAAAUUGUGCUUAGCAGGAGUUUCCAUCAUGGCCCAGUGGUUAACGAAUCCAACUAGGAACCAUGAAGUUGCAGAUUCGAUCCCUGGCCUUGUUCAGAGGGUUCCAGCAUUGCUGUGAGCUGUGGUGUAGGUCACAGAUGAGGCUUGGAUCACUUGCUGCUGUGGCUGUGGCACAGGCCCGCGGCUACGGCUCUGACUCGACCCCUGGCCUGGGAACCCCCAUAAGCCGCAGGAGCAGCCCCAAAAAAGGAAAAAAAAAAAAAAAAAAAAAAAAAAAAAAGUGCUUAGCAGAUAGUUUCCUGAAUGUUAAAAUGAUCAUGUUUUAGUUGAACACUUUUUCAAAUGGGUGUUAUGUUGCAAAAAUAAUUUACUUUACAGGUUUUUAAUUUAAAAGAAUAGUGUAUCAUAGAUGUAUUUAUUCAUACCUGAACACCUCAAGCAAAAAACUAAGUGAUUGUCUUAUAUUCUUUCAGGUUUGAUUUAAUUUCGAAUGAGAUUAUUCUUGCAGCGAGAUGUUAAUAAGACAAAAUCUAGGUAAGUAGAAAAUGACUGCUAAAUAUUACAUAUCAAAGUAAUGCAAGAGAGUAAUAAUAUAAAAAUGUGUGUUGUAAAAGUGUGCUUCCAAAUCCAAACGCAGUUUUGAAAUAAAAAUUUGCAAUUUUGAAGAGCCGACUUUUUGAUGGACUUGAUUUGAUGGAAGCAAAAGUACAGCUGUCAAACUGAAACUAAAUUCUUAGUUUCCCUGCUUAUAUGUUGCGAUUAACUUAAGUAUGCAGUUUCUAGUGACUGUUAAGCAUGUUAGAAGAUCCAGUUGGUAUUUGGUUUAGCCACUUGGAAACCAGUUGAGAGAAUUGCUAGGUUGCUUUGUUUCCUUCUUACUGGGUUAUAGUACUGGAGCAGUCUUUGCUCUUGUGAAUUGUACUUUCUUAUUUACGUUAACAAAGCACUUGCAAGAGUUCUCUGGUGGUACAGUGGGUUAAGGCGUUGUCACUGCUGUCGCUUGGUUUCAAUCCCUGGUCCAGGAAUUUCUGCAUGCUGCAGUGUGGCCAAAAAGAGAAACAAAAACAGGGAGUUCCCAUAGUGGCUCAGCAGUAAUGAACCCGACUAGUAUCCAUGAGGAUAUGGGUUCUAUCCCUGGCCUCACUCAGUGAGUUAAGGAUCCUGCAUUGCUGUGGCUGUGGUGUAGGCCAGCAGCUGCAGCUCUAAUUCGACCCCUAGCAUGGGAAUUUCCAGAUGCUUGCAGAUGCAGCCCUAAAAAGACAAAAAAGAAAAAAACAAAAAUGCAGCAAUUCUGCAGUUUUUAAAAUUUACCAAAAUGCGAUUCCUUUAUGUUAAUAUAAUGUUCAGAAUUGGAAGUGAUUAUUUUAAUAUUUUUUUGUAUUUCUACUGAGUGACUCUUCUAAUUUAAUAUUUUAAUUUGUUUUAGUUUUUUAAGACUGUUGCCUCUCAGAGAUUUGAAUUGUGAUGAUGUACUUUUAGACUGAUAUGUGAAAGAAUGCUUUUUAAUAAGUUGUUGAAGUGUUAAAAAGGUGCACUUUACUCUCUCUCGGUAAAUGAACAUGGCUUCAGGAUAUAAGCAGAUUAACAAGAAUGCUUUGAUCAAAUUGCAGCUAAGUUGGGUCUUUCUGUAAUCUAACUCAAUGUUCAGCUGUCAAAAAACUUGCUGAUCUCAAUGUUUAAAAAAAAAAAAAAA
rnacentral:lncRNA from 1 species